rnacentral:misc_RNA from 1 species
ACGGACGAAGGCGACUACCAGGUCAAGCUUCGCAAUCUCAACCGCUUUCUGGAGCAUGGUGACAAAUGCAAGGUCACUAUCCGCUUCCGCGGUCGUGAGAUGGCGCACCAGGAGCUGGGUGCCAGGUUGCUCGACCGGAUUGAAGCCGAUCUGGGUGAGCUGGCCACGGUGGAGCAGCGCCCCAAGAUGGAAGGUCGCCAGAUGAUCAUGGUGAUCAGUCCCAAGAAGAAGUGAGCAGUCAGCGGUAGCCAUAAUAAAACGGAUGCACGGGUCACGGUACACCUGUGCGUCUCGACCAACAUGUCGUCAACCAGGCGACAUCAUCCGGAGUUCAAAGAUGCCGA